CACCAACUGCACCUGUGCGCUGUGCCUUAGUUUAAAGCUUGCCUUGGAAAGUUUCCCUGGCGUGAUUGCUUAUUGAUAGAGCAGCUCUGGUUCCUAGUACGUUUCAUACAUCCUGUCUGAGCGAGUUUUAUUACUGAAUGUUACCUCCGUGCUGAUAACAAGGAGACGUUGUGUCCUCCACGGUGAACUCACGCCCUGUUCCAGAAAUAUAGCGUGACUCCCCUCCCUGCUCGGGUUGUAAAGGUGGAAACCCCGGGCCGCCCUCCAGCACCUGCACCUCCAACCCCUCGGCAGUGCCUUGCAGCCCAGGCUGGGAGCGCCUCCUAGGACACGAAGUGCGUGCGACUGCUGGGCGGCAGGUCACGCAACCCAGGGCGACCCCGCCCCCGCCGCUGGCUCUCGGGGCCAGCGUGCUCGCUCAGGCUUCCUGGCGGCCUGGAACCAGCCUCGCGUGCUGACCCGGCCGCCUAAUCGGCUUGGAAUCCCUGAUCCCACCGCCCCCCACCCCCCCAGGCGCUGCGUCCUGCACCAACUAUAGCCGCAGCUGACUACCGUCAACUCGGAAAGUUUCCACCUCUGCUGCUGUAAAGCAGACAGCUCCGGCAUCGCGACGAAGGAGGAAAGGGGCGCGGCAAAAAGGAAGCGGUGACAGAGCAGCAACCUGCCUUUUCGAUCAUAGCAAACUUGGAACAACUAUCAACUCACGACAGGUUGCCUCAGUAUUGAAUCGCAACUAGAGAACAUGGCCCUCCCAGUUUCUCUCUUGCUAAAGGCCUUCCUAGAUUAUUGAUGCUUUGCGUGAGCAAUCAGGAAAAAAGGAAGCAAUCCAGAUGGGAGGCUGGCUGGCUGUGGUGAGAUGCCUCUGAAAUGAAAAAAGUAUUUGCAGAUGUUUCAACAAGUGGAAGGGUCGGGCUGAGUCUAGGCCACAGGAAACAACUUCCACACCUUGGGGCUACUACAAUAAAGGUGCUAUACAAGGUGCCUGUCUUGGUUCUGAGAAUUCAGCAGUCGCUGAUGUGAUCUCUUGCCCCGAAUCACACAGUGAAUGGCGGAGCUGAGACCAGAAAUGAGUCUAUGGAUUUCCAAUGAAAAGACCUUCCAUUAAUCAACUACCACGUCUAAACCAGGCCCUAAGUGUUUCACCUAUGUUAAGUCAUGUAGUCUUCAUGACCUUGGAUUUCUUUAUAUGUGUGGCAUGCCUUUCCACACCUGACAUUUCCCUUCUUGUGAAGGGAAUUCCAUUAAUGUAAUGAUUUGGCUCCUCCGGCAGUCUUAUUCACUUUGCCCAAGAGGGGAUAAAGAGACAUCUGAGUUUGAAAGAGAAACAGUACCUGAGUGGCCCAACCCCUUCCCUUCUCUUUCUUCAAGACUGAGCUGCCUGACAAGAAUGUGUGUGCCUUGCUCUUCCAGGCCCAGAGAUGAGCAGAGUAGAAGGAGACUCUUAAGGCCCUGUGAGAGGGAGACAAGUCUUCAUACUGGAGUUUUAAAUUAGGAAGCCCACUUUCCCACAGCAGUAAACUUUCAGUGUGUGUGUAUGCAGAAGAGAAGCAUUUCAUAAAAAAUAAAAGAGUGAAUUAGCACGUCUGUACUAUCAUUUGUACCAUACAAAAACAGCCACAGGAUGCUGUGCCUCACAGUCUGACCCCACCUGCCGCAGCAUCCAGGAAAUAGCGUCUUGAAAUAACCAUGAACAUCACCUUCUGAGAUCAUUCGCCCAAGCAGCAGAGCAGCUUGCACAGCAGCCUGGACCUGUUGCAGAUGGCACGUGACAUUAACCAUCACCUUCUGAACGGGUUUGGCCCAAUUUCCCCAAAUUCUGAAAUUGUAAAGGUUUGCUGUUGGGCUUUUUGGAAGACGAAGUGGUAAAAUGAAAAGAAUAUGGGAUUUAUAGAUUUAGAAGACCUGGGCUGAUACCCACCCUUAGUGAACCUCUAUCUCUGACCUCCGUUUUUCCUCUAAAUAACAGAACAGAUCACCUUACCGAGCUCACCCUGUGCUUUGAGUCCAAAGAAGAAAUGGAUGUGCAAGUGCUUUGUAAACUGUAAAGAACCAUUAACAGGGUGGGCUGGGAUGGGGUAAAAAGCAGAAAACUGUCCUCAAACAACAAUUAAAAUUUAAAAUUUUUUAAAAAUUAAAAAAAACUAUUGACAAUAUUAGUUGUUUUACAGGUGUAAAGGGCAAUUCUUUAAAUAAUAGUUCUCAUUUUUAUUCUGGUUUUUCAGUUUGACUUGACACAAAGGUGAUUGAAUGGUUGACAGUGGCCUAGAUGGUUAUUUAGAGGCUAAAAAUCAUGCCCCCAGCUAGCAUUGCUUAUUUAAUACAAUUAAAAAGCAAACUCCUCUCUUUCAUUGUUGUCUGCAUUUUCACCGUUAGCCUUUUCCACGGGGCACUGCCUCACUCAAUGACCUCCCUUGAACUUGGAGCAGGUUUGUAAAAUUACUUUCCAUUAGGAAGCAGCAGCAGUGCACGUGAGAACUGGAGUAGAGGUGGAGAAGGGAUAAAAGAAAGGCUGAAGGCAGGUAAAAGGCACAGAAUGGUCCGGCUCUUAAGUUUCAACCAAAAGUACUUGAUAAGAAAACUGAGGAGGGAGCAGAUGGAAGCCAGGAGCAAGGGAACAUUGUUUCAAUGUGGCAUAUCUUCCUCAAAUUGUUUUAAGGCUUGCUCCCUCUGAUCAAUUUGCCAUAUCUUAACCUCAAAGUCCGAAGAAAUGGAUUCCAACCCUGCUUCCGUGACUAUCCAGCUGUGUGACCUUGGAUAAGUAACUUUGCCUUCCAGGGUCUCAUUUUUCUUAUCUAUAAAAUGAAAGGUUUAGAUAUAGAUUCUCUAAAGCCAUUUCCAUGACAAAUAUUCUAUAAUCCUAGCAAGACCCUAUAAUUUCCCUCCUCUUUUAACAUUUUAGUCUUAUCUUCCCCCAGGGGAAAAAUUAUUUUAGAAAUGAGCUAAGAUAUUGGGGGGAGGGGAGAGGGUGUAUGUAGGCACCAUUGGUAGUAUUAUAUCAGAACAGCGUAGGCCAAACAGGAGCAUUUCAUAAAAGUUAAAAACAGAGUAAUCAAGCAGUUGUACACUGUCAUAUUGGAACCAUUUCUCUUAUAAACAAAGAAACUCCCCAAGAAGUUGUUCCAGUUAUAGUUGUAUUCACACAUGUACACAGUUCCAUUAAAAAACUGUCAAGCUUUACAAAUCAUACUUGAAAUACGGAAGAACACAUACCAGCUUUUAAAGUAGGCCUCCAGCCUACUUUAGCAGACAGGCUUCUCGACCAUUGCUGUAAGUCAUUAAGAGAACGAGUGAAUAAAAUAUGUGCAAUAGUUGUUAAAUCCUCCAAACAAUACAUUUUUCUCCUGAGUGUGGAGGAUGGACUCUCCAUGUUUUUCUGCAUGGUGAUAAUUCUGUUCACUGCAGAAGUAGGUUUAAGCAAAAGGAAUAACAGAAACAGGUCAGCUACAUGACCUUGAACCUUAAAAACAAAACAAUUUGGUGGGGGAGAAUUCACUGGUUCAGUAUUUGUCAUUAUGAGAAUCUGGUGGAAUCAAAGGCAUUCCUGUGUCUUGCAUGUAUUUUAAUAAGCUGUUACUAACUUUGGCACGUAUUAAAUAAAAUUCCACUCUCGGAACCGGUAGAGUAAUGCUGUUGUCAUCUUUCAUGUUUAUAUAGAUGAUUGGUCCCAAUCACUCCUUUUUAUUAAACAUGACUAGGGAUUCCAGAACUAAAGGCUGCAUGCAUGGCUAAGUGGCUAGAGAUGGGAGACCAGAGAAAUCUAAUGACGUUGGCAAUGGAAGAGUACACAGGAAAGACACUGGUCUUUGAACUGAGACUUGAGCUCAGAUCCAGGUGCCUCUAAGUCUAGGCACUUAGCCUCUCUGGAUUUGAUUUUCUGAUCUAUAAAAUGGGAUUAAUAUGUACCUUGCAGUUAUGAGAAAUCAUACUACUACCUGCGAAGCACCUAACAGGUACACACACAGUGGAUGUCAUUAUUCUUUUGUCUCAGUGGAGUAAACAACUCCCUCCUCCCUAUUUUAAAUUUGAAAUCAUGCUCCUUCCAGGUCUUAACU